UACGUAGGGUGCAAGCGUUAUCCGGAUUUAUUGGGCGUAAAGAGCGUGUAGGCGGCCAGGUAGGUCAGCUGUGAAAACUCGAGGCUCAACCUCGAGACGCCGGUUGAAACCAUCUGGCUAGAGUCCGGAAGAGGAGAGUGGAAUUCCUGGUGUAGCGGUGAAAUGCGCAGAUAUCAGGAAGAACACCCGUGGCUAAGGCGGCUCUCUAGUACGGUACUGACGCUGAGACGCGAAAGCGUGGGGAGCGAACAGG
rnacentral:rRNA from 1 species